AUUGAACGCUGGCGGCAGGCCUAACACAUGCAAGUCGAGCGAGCGGCGGACGGGUGAGUAAUGUAUGGGAAACUGCCUGAUGGCUGGGGAUAACUACUGGAAACGGUAGCUAAUACCGCAUACCAUCAGAUGAACCCAUAUGGGAUUAGCUUGUAGGUGGGGUAACGGCGCACCAAGGCGACGAUCCCUAGCUGGUCUGAGAGGAUGAUCAGCCACACUGGGACGUAGACACGGUCCAGACGCCUACGGGAGGCAGCAGUGGGGAAUAUUGCACAAUGGGCGCAAGCCUGAUGCAGCCAUGCCGCUUGUAUGAAGAAGGCCUUCGGGUUGUAAAGUACUUUCAGUCGGGAGGCGUUACCGACAGAAGAAGCACCGGCUAACUCCGUGCCAGCAGCCGCGGUAAUUC
rnacentral:rRNA from 1 species